rnacentral:lncRNA from 1 species
UUAUUAUAUAUAUCAAAUGAUAACAUAGGUUUGCUACAGUAUUCGAGGGUAUUUUCGUUAUUUCAAUCUUCAAACAAUUCCAAUAACCAUGUGUCUGUUGUCCUACCCAUUCGUUCUCUCCCUACCCUCCAGAGCAGGUUACCCACCAGGCCGCCACCACCACCACUACCGUCGCCCUUCCAUCCGCUGAUGAUGAACACUGAUUGGCAUCGCCCGUCACUACCGAUCGUCUUCCAUCUGCUGCUGCUGAUCAUCGUUGAUUAAAGCGGCCGGCUGAUUCGAAACCAGGGUUUGGUUUUGAUUGUGGUAGUUGAUUGAGGUGGCAGUUAUGAACAGGUCCCGACGAAGCUACAAGAUUACUGAAGAUUGUUUUAAGGGUUUACAAGUUUAAGGAGUGUCAACCUUCCUACCUUCCAUUGGAACUAUUAAUGUAACAUAAGCAACCUUCUGGAUUCAAGGAUAACAAAGGAGAUGACUUUCAAAUUGAUGGUAAAAGAGAUACCAUUUUGCUUUUACAAUUGGCUUCAAUUUUAAGAUAUUUUUUAAUUUUUAAUUUGUAACACACGCCUUUGUAAAUAAAAUUAUUUUUGCAAUAUACGUCUCCCCCUACUGUAUCACGUUC